UAGCUCAGUUGGUAGAGCAGUUGACUUUUAAUCAAUUGGUCGCAGGUUCGAAUCGCUAAGGUGGAAGCGGUAGUAAAACGUGAAGGAUAACGUUGCAUCAGCAACGGCCCGAAGGGCGAGACGAAGUCGAGUCAUCCUGCACGACCCACCA
rnacentral:sRNA from 1 species